GACGAACGCUGGCGGCGUGCCUAAUACAUGCAAGUCGAACGCUUCUUUCCUCCCGAGUGCUUGCACUCAAUUGGAAAGAGGAGUGGCGGACGGGUGAGUAACACGUGGGUAACCUACCCAUCAGAGGGGGAUAACACUUGGAAACAGGUGCUAAUACCGCAUAACAGUUUAUGCCGCAUGGCAUAAGAGUGAAAGGCGCUUUCGGGUGUCGCUGAUGGAUGGACCCGCGGUGCAUUAGCUAGUUGGUGAGGUAACGGCUCACCAAGGCCACGGUGCAUAGCCGACCUGAGAGGGUGAUCGGCCACACUGGGACUGAGACACGGCCCAGACUCCUACGGGAGGCAGCAGUAGGGAAUCUUCGGCAAUGGACGAAAGUCUGACCGAGCAACGCCGCGUGAGUGAAGAAGGUUUUCGGAUCGUAAAACUCUGUUGUUAGAGAAGAACAAGGACGUUAGUAACUGAACGUCCCCUGACGGUAUCUAACCAGAAAGCCACGGCUAACUACGUG
rnacentral:rRNA from 1 species